UACGUAGGGCGCAAGCGUUGUCCGGAAUUAUUGGGCGUAAAGAGCUCGUAGGCGGCUUGUCGCGUCGAUUGUGAAAGCCCGGGGCUUAACUCCGGGUCUGCAGUCGAUACGGGCAGGCUAGAGUGUGGUAGGGGAGAUCGGAAUUCCUGGUGUAGCGGUGAAAUGCGCAGAUAUCAGGAGGAACACCGGUGGCGAAGGCGGGUCUCUGGGCCGAUACUGACGCUGAGGAGCGAAAGCGUGGGGAGCGAACAGG
rnacentral:rRNA from 1 species